GGAGAGAUGGCUGAGAGG
rnacentral:tRNA from 1 species